rnacentral:rRNA from 1 species
UACAGAGGUGGCAAGCGUUGUUCGGAAUUACUGGGCGUAAAGGGCGCGUAGGCGGCCCACUAAGUCAGACGUGAAAUCCCCCGGCUUAACCUGGGAACUGCGUCUGAUACUGGAGGGCUUGAGUAUGGGAGAGGGAUGUAGAAUUCCAGGUGUAGCGGUGAAAUGCGUAGAUAUCUGGAGGAAUACCGGUGGCGAAGGCGGCAUCCCGGACCAUUACUGACGCUGAGGCGCGAAAGCUAGGGGAGCAAACGGG